rnacentral:tRNA from 3 species
GCGUUAGUGGCUCAAUUGGAUAGAGCAUCAGACUUCGGAUCUGAGGGUUAGGGGUUCGAGUCCCUUCUGGCGUACCA